CCCUUAGAUGUCCUGGGCUGCACGCGCGCUACACUGAUGUGUCCAGUAAGCACCUAACCUAUUCCGAGAGGAGCGGGUAACCUUAGCAAAGCACAUCGUGAUGGGGAUAGAUUAUUGCAAUUAUUAGUCUUGAACGAGGAAUUCCUAGUAAGCACAAGUCAUCAGCUUGUGUUGAUUACGUCCCUGCCCUUUGUACACACCGCCCGUCGCUCCUACCGAUUGAAUGUUCCGGUGAGCUCUUCGGACUGCGCGGUCUGCAGUUUCUGCGUUCCGUGCGGAAAGUUGUGCAAACCUUAACAUUUAGAGGAGGGAGAAGUCGUAACA
rnacentral:rRNA from 1 species